UGUGGGAGCGAGCCUGCUCGCGAUGGCGUCGGUACAUUCAACCUUUAAGCGACUGAUCCACCGCUAUCGCGAGCAGGCUCGCUCCCACA
rnacentral:misc_RNA from 1 species